rnacentral:miRNA from 1 species
UGGUGGGGAUUUGUCGCAUUACU